UAGUCUAGUGGUUAAGGCUAUGGAUCGCCAAUCCGGAGACUGCGGGUUCGAUUCCCGU
rnacentral:tRNA from 1 species